rnacentral:misc_RNA from 1 species
AUGCUAUAACAAUGAUUAGUACAUGGUUACUUUCCGUAGUUGAAAUUAAAAUAACUAUAAACGCCGAUAUUAAAGAGGACAAAACACCGGAAACAGUGCUUUAAUUCCAUAGUGUUGGUAGUUUGGUAAUGAAGUUUGUAUAAAAGUUGAGUUUCAUGUACAAUUUUUUCAUUCAUGAUCUGUGUUUUUUGCCAUAGUCGUUGAUGAACACAUUUCUUGAUUCUAAUCCUUUUAUCAAACCAUAAAUUGCCGAAACACUUUGUGAUCCGUAAUGUCUCAAACAUGGUGUGAAUUCGAGUAUUCAGAGUUUAUGUCAAUGGCAUUUGGAAAAGAUCCAACACACAGGUAACAAUGGUGAUUUUGGUCAAGACUGCUUGGCCAACCUAGGAGACGGUUAUUCCUCACCCGAUGAUUUAAGGAAUUUUGUUAGAUAUUCCCAAUCACUAGCUGAUUAAUGUACGCGUAUUUUAAUUUUAAAAGCAUCUUUCCAGAACAUCCGCAGUCCUCCUCUUUACAUUCGUCGCAAAACACAGAGGAACAGAUGUAUUAUAUAAAAAGCGAGACGCGAGGUUCAUGGACAACACUUCCAAGAAGAAAUCGAGCACUGCAAAAACCAAUAAAGUGUAAUUGAGUUAUGAGAUUUGGCGAAAUAAACCGCUUUUGACAGUAAA